UGAGUCUGAAAUGUAAUCGCCGGCAGACUAUUGCCUUAGGGUAGUAGGGUUGUCGGAGGAAAGUCCGGGCUUCAUAGAGCAGGAUGUCUGGCUAACGGCCAGAGGAGGUGACUCCAUGGAAAGUGCCACAGAAAAUAUACCGCCGAUGGCUGGUUUCGACCAGCACAGGUAAGGUUGAAAUGGUGGGAGAGAUUUAUCUCUUUAAUGUAAGAGCCCACCGCAGGGAUGGCAACAUUCCUGGCAGGGUAAACCCCAUUCGAAGCAAGUCCAAAUAGGGUAGUGUUACAGGUUGCUCGCCUAGCUACCGGGUAGGACGCUUGAGGAUCCGGGCAACCGGAUUCCUAGUUAAAUGAUUACAACUUGAUCUCGAUCAAGGACAGAACCCGGCUUAUUGACGGCUCAACUC
rnacentral:RNase_P_RNA from 1 species